GUGCUCGCUUCGGCAGCACAUAUACUAAAAUUGGAAUGAUACAAAGGAAAUUAGCAUAGCCCCUGGGCAAGGAUGACAUGCAAAUUCGUGAAGUGUUCCUUAUUUAA
rnacentral:snRNA from 1 species